AUCCAGUUGACAAGUCCCAAACAGGACGAAAUGCAUUUUAUCCUGGAU
rnacentral:hammerhead_ribozyme from 1 species